rnacentral:pre_miRNA from 1 species
AUAUUACUCCCUCCGAUCCAUAUUAGUUGUCAAAAUAUUACAUGUAUCUAGGCAUUUUAGGCAUAGAUACAUCCAUAUUUGGGAAAAUUUGAGACAAUUAAUAUGGAUCGGAGGGAAUAUCAA